rnacentral:rRNA from 1 species
AGCGAACGCUGGCGGCAUGCCUAACACAUGCAAGUCGCACGGGGGGGCUUCGGCCUCCCAGUGGCGGACGGGUGAGGAACGCGUAGGGACCUGUCGAGGGGUGGGGGAUAACCGCGGGAAACUGCGGCUAAUACCCCAUGACGCCGCGGCGUGACAGCCGGGGCCAAAGGCGAAAGCCGCCCGCCGAGGGGCCUGCGUCCGAUUAGCUGGUUGGCGGGGUAGCGGCCCACCAAGGCGUCGAUCGGUAGCUGGUCUGAGAGGGUGAUCAGCCACACCGGGACUGAGACACGGCCCGGACUCCUACGGGAGGCAGCAGUGGGGAAUAUUGGACAAUGGGCGCAAGCCUGAUCCAGCAAUGCCGCGUGGGUGAAGAAGGUCUUCGGAUUGUAAAGCCCUUUCGGCGGGGACGAUGGUGACGGUACCCGCAGAAGAAGCCCCGGCUAACUUCGUG